GGGGCGUCGCCUUGUCCUCUUCGGAGCCAAUCGGAAUUCUGUUUCAUACUUUGUAAACAACACGGUUGCACGUUGUCUGCAAACUACUACGGGUAGUUGUCGCGGGCCAGGCGCCGCCAAGCCACUUCGCUCUGGAGCUAUGCUUCCUGUCCUGUGACUAAACAACAGAAACCAUUUUCACAUGGCUGGAUAAAUCAGCCUUCUGCUUGUGACAUGACCUU
ensembl:lncRNA